rnacentral:lncRNA from 1 species
AAGAAUGAAUACUAUCACAAAUAAUAAAUCAAGGAGACUAACUCUUAAAUAAGAUACAGUUUGCAUUUUCUCGCCUAAGAAAGCAUUUUUUAAAAUUAGUACAAGCCUAAGUCUUGGUGUUAUUUGUUUGCUCUCGUUCAUAAUAGGAUUGCUUUAUAAUUAUUUAGUUUUUUAAAGUGUGUCUAUUAUUCUAAAAACUUAUAGUCCUGAGUGUCUUAAUUUUUUCUAGAAAAAUUUGCAAUAGCUAUUUCUGGCCAUUGUUAGUAGGUUCAAACUGAUUAUGUAACUAAAGUGCUUCCACCAUGAAAAAAGUGGUACAUUACAUUUUCUAUAGAGUCUUUCAUAAUUCAUCCCGAUCAAAGCAGUGAGCUGAACUGAGACCAUAAACAGCUCACAAAUGUUUCACAACAUAAUCAAUGAAGUACCAAUGAUAUCUCAAAAAUAGCUGCAAGGUUAUCUGUAGUGCUUUAUAGUUACAAAUAUGCUGUCAAAAUUAGAUUUUCUUUCCUUUUCCUGAGUUUAGUAAGCACUUUUGUUUCUAGUCAUUUAACCAACUCCUUUAGUUCUGGAGUUCUAUAAAGUUCACUCACAGAGGAAUUGAACCAUUGAUGGGGGACUGACUGCUGGCUAUACCUUCCUAAAUAUCAUCUCUUUGCUAAUCACCUCCUUACUAAAUACUAUAACAAUCCUCAGAUGCAUAUGCUUAAGGACAAAUCUUAAUUUGCAGGACAUUCUUCCCGCUGGUUGGUAAUGCCCAAGUGGUCCUUCUUUAGGCUGAGCAGUGUUAGAUGUUCAUGAUUACCAUUUCCACUCUUUUGUUCAUGUCCAUGCAGGUUUAUGACUCCAACUGCUCCUGCUCUAGGGAGGCUGAUCUUGGUCAUGAUGAUCUGCAUUCAGCUGCAUCUUCAGCUUUGGGCACCAGGCAGCCCUGUGACCUCAGGUCUUCAAGGAGCCUGGUGGAGCAUCGACGUUCAGGAAACGUUUCCUGGAAAGAGUUGCCAGUGAGUGGAAUCCUCAAGGACAAGUACAAAAGAAACCUUUCGUAUUUUGUUUCAUAGCAGCAUCUAGUGUGGUGCCUGUGGAUGGGUUCCCUGAAGCUAUCCAAUUGAUAUGUCACUGAGCAUUUGGAAAUUGUCGUUAUGAAGGGCAGUUGAAGAGUAAAUUUUUUUUUCUGCGACAUCUUUGUUCACAGCUGUGCCUUGUAGUAUACCCAGGGAGGGAUUUAAAAACAAACAAAAAACUGGAGGGAGAAGAAAGAAUGAGGAAAAUGAUAAAUUGUGUUGGAAAUCAUCUAAUGAUGAGCCUGUUCUGGGAAAUCCUUAACCACAGGAAUGAGCUUCACCUGGUGU